GUGUGUGUUACAGUGUUUCAUAGGAGAAUAUGUCACUCUACCAACGGAACAAUUCAUUCAAUCAGUUUGUUAUAAAGUGUUUACCGAAAUAAAACUAUUUGUAAAGCAAGUAAAAAAGUCUAGCUAGAAAAUCGUGCUGUUAUUACCCUAAAAACUGAGGUUGCCACCACAUUGCAUCCAAGCCGAAAUAACAUUCAUUCAAUAUGGCCUCGAGCUCGAAUACGCCGAAAAUAACAGCGAUACGGCACGCAAUUCAAGGGUCUCCAAUCUGCGUUAGUUAUGGCUACGACGAGAUAACUGGGGUUUUUCUAUCGGUUGAGGACAAUCGCCUGAAAUACGAUCGCAACGCAUCCGACGAGAUCAACAACGUUUUUCUGGAUACCGGCGUAUUAGGCCUGGAAAGUGGCGACGGAGCUUACUUGGAUAUGCAUACCGGUGACAUUGAAGUGGGCAUUAGGGUAUCCUGGCCGGUAAUGAGCGAAUAUUUGAAACGAUAUGGAGUGUCACGAAAUCAUAUUCAAGAUCUAAUGAAAAAGCACAUAAAGCACGAGAAAAAGUGGAACAAAGAGAGCGCCUGAUUUGUGUGGAAUGUUGUUGGUGAAUUUGGAAUGGGAAAUUUUGUGUAAUGUUGUCAGUAGCGAUUUUCUAAGGUGAAGCAACAUCGAUAUCAGCAAUAAAUAUUUCAAUUAUUUCGAAAC